UACGUAGGGGGCGAGCGUUGUCCGGAAUCAUUGGGCGUAAAGAGCGUGUAGGCGGCUUGGAAAGUCUUACGUGAAAGCCUGCGGCUCAACCGCAGAAGUGCGUAGGAAACUUCCUCGCUAGAGUCCGGAAGAGGAGAGCGGAAUUCCUGGUGUAGCGGUGGAAUGCGCAGAUAUCAGGAAGAACACCCGUGGCGAAGGCGGUUCUCUGGGACGGUACUGACGCUGAGACGCGAAAGCGUGGGGAGCGAACAGG
rnacentral:rRNA from 1 species